rnacentral:rRNA from 1 species
CGACCGCUGGCGGUGUGCUUACCACAUGCACGUCGAACGGUAAGGCCCUUUCGGGGGUCCACGAGUGGCGAACGGGUGAGUAACACGUGAGUAACCUGCCCUCAUCUCUGGGAUAACAGUCGGAAACGGUUGCUAAUACUGGAUAUGAGCUUGCAAGGCAUCUUGUGGGUUGGAAAGAUUUUUUUUGGUUGGGGAUGGACUCGCGGCCUAUCAGCUUGUUGGUGAGGUAGUGGCUCACCAAGGCUUCGACGGGUAGCCGGCCUGAGAGGGCGACCGGCCACAUUGGGACUGAGAUACGGCCCAAACUCCUACGGGAGGCAGCAGUGGGGAAUAUUGCACAAUGGACGGAAGUCUGAUGCAGCAACGCCGCGUGCGGGAUGACGGCCUUCGGGUUGUAAACCGCUUUCAAUUGUGACGAAGCUUUUUUGUGACGGUAGCAGUAGAAGAAGCACCGGCUAACUACGUG